AUCGCUUCUCGGCCUUUUGGCUAAGAUCAAGUGUAGUAUCUGUUCUUAUCAGUUUAAUAUCUGAUACGUCCUCUAUCUGAGGACAAUAUAUUAAAUGGAUUUUUGGAGCUAGGAGUUGGAAUAGGAGCUUGCUCCGUCCACUCCACGCAUCGACCUGGUAUUGCAGUACCUCCAGGAACGGUGCACCCCCU
rnacentral:snRNA from 1 species